rnacentral:lncRNA from 1 species
UUCCCGCCGCAGCCCAGCCGCCCCAUCCGUUCGCACAGCAACCGCCGCCGGCCAUCUCCAUCUUCUCUUCUCCUCUCCGUUCCGUCCAAACCCAGCCGGACGUCGCUGCAACCAUCGGCCAGUUCGCGAGGCAGCCGUACGCGUCACCUUGCGGCCGCCGUACGCGUCACCUUGCGACCGCCGUCCAGAUCUGUACCGCAAGACCUUCCGCCGCUGCAGCCGUUGCUCUUCCGCCGCUGCCCAGCCGUCUCAGCCGGUUCUGUCUCCGUCGAAGCCAAGGCCGCGCCGCGUGAACCAGUAACCGCCACGCUCCCCGCUCA